GGGGAUGUAAUGGUCUCGACGGGGAUGGGUAGUAUGUGGACAGCGAGCCGGGGGGUCAUCACCCCGUUAGUAAGGUGAAACUUUUAUUAAACAUAAAAGCAAACGAAGACUACGCUCUGGCGGCUUAAGCCAGCCCCUUUCCGUCUGCCUCCCGCACGGAUGGAGACCGGGGUCAAACGCGGGAUACCCGAGAGCCAUCGCACGAUAACUCUCACGGGAACACCAUCGUGAUCGGUGCGCCGCAGCCUGUCUGUGGGCGGCGGCACUCCUAAAGAAAAGCACAGACUGCGCUCGGAGAAAUCCAUGUAGUAUUAUCUUCGGACAGGAGUUCGAUUCUCCUCAUCUCCACCA
rnacentral:tmRNA from 1 species